UGGGGAAUAUUGGACAAUGGGCGAAAGCCUGAUCCAGCAAUGCCGCGUGUGUGAAGAAGGUCUUCGGAUUGUAAAGCACUUUCGACGGGGACGAUGAUGACGGUACCCGUAGAAGAAGCCCCGGNUAACUUCGUGCCAU
rnacentral:rRNA from 1 species